GGUUCAGGCUAGGUACCCCAUCCAGUGGGACCCCAAAUCUGAGCAUGGCAGCUGCCCCCUGAGCUCCUAUGAGGUGGAGACGUCACACAGUGGCUGAGCGUAAGCUCAAGGAUCUGGUGCGGGUGGAAGGAGGAAGAAGGGCGCACCCCCUGCUGGCUCCCCCUCCCCGUGGGACUCCCUUUCCUUUCCAGGCGGGGAUAUAAGCCCCGAAAGGAAAGCCCUGAGCAGAGGAGGCCUCAGCUUGACCUGUCCCAGUGCGCCCUUGAAACUUUCCUCGCCUUCCACCUCCUGCUCAUCUGCUUCACAAGCUGUCGCUGUGGUGUCGGUUCGCAGGUCGUGGCCUCUCAUGGCCACGGUGCUUUUGGCCCUGCUCGUCUACCUGGGGGCGCUGGUCGACGCCUACCCCAUCAAACCCGAGGCUCCCGGCGAAGACGCCUUCCUGGGGUAGCUGAGCCGCUGCUACGCCUAUCCUCGCCACUACCUCAUCCUGGUCACUCAGCCGUCGUGAGCGCAGGCGCGGGGCGGGCGGAGCGGGACCCCUGGGGCUCUCCCCCUGCGGCCCCGCUCCACCGGGGGCGUGGCUAGAUCUGACCGCGCCCUUCCAGGCCCCGCCCUCAGGUAUGGGAAACUAGGCCGCCCGGUCGCGCGCCUCUCCAAAACGUUCUUCCCAGACUGCGAGGACCGCCUCGGCAGGUGGCGGUAAAAGCGCCCCCAUCAAGUCACAUAACAUCCUGCCUCCGAGAGCGCGGUCUGGCCCCACCCUGGUCCAUCACUUACGACGUCUCCCAGGCUUGCCUCCCCGGAUCGGAUUCCUUUCCCUUCGAUCCCGCAGGCCGGAGGCGCAGACCUGUGGUGAGGACACCCGAGGCCUCCUGGGAGACCUGCAGACCACGCCCACCUCAUUUACAUGUUCACUCCCGACCCUGGAAACCCGGAUUUCGCCUCCGGACAGCGGCGUCUGGGCAGGGUUCGGGUACUGCAGUCCCGCGUCUGGAUGCCCCCGCCCCCUGAGCUGCAGGGCUGUGUGUGGUCCUUCCCUGGUCCCAAAAUAAAGAGCGAAUUGCACAGAAACGGAA
rnacentral:lncRNA from 1 species